GAUGAACGCUGGCGGCGUGCUUAACACAUGCAAGUCGAACGGAAAGGCUCCUGCUUGCAGGGGUACUCGAGUGGCGAACGGGUGAGUAACACGUGGGUGAUCUGCCCUGCACUUCGGGAUAAGCCUGGGGAACUGGGUCUAAUACCGGAUAGGACCACAUUUUGGAUGGUGUGGUGGAAAGUUUUUCGGUGUGGGAUGAGCUCGCGGCCUAUCAGCUUGUUGGUGGGGUAAUGGCCUACCAAGGCGUCGACGGGUAGCCGGCCUGAGAGGGUGUACGGCCACAUUGGGACUGAGAUACGGCCCAGACUCCUACGGGAGGCAGCAGUGGGGAAUAUUGCACAAUGGGCGCAAGCCUGAUGCAGCGACGCCGCGUGGGGGAUGACGGCCUUCGGGUUGUAAACUCCUUUCGCUAGGGACGAAGCGCAAGUGACGGUACCUGGAGAAGAAGCACCGGCUAACUACGUG
rnacentral:rRNA from 1 species